rnacentral:ncRNA from 1 species
CUUCGGGGUGCCGGACGGAUCCGGCUGAGAUUGGGCUUUUGGCCCUGACCCGUGAACCUGAUACGGUUAAUACCGUCGGAGGGAAAGAUGAGAAU